AGCGGCGUAAGGGGCAGUAAUACCUGGGAACGUACCUGGAGGUCGGGGAUAGCUGCUGGAAACGGCGAGUAAUACCCGAUGAUCUUGGAAAAGCAAAGGCUUGCCGCCUUCGGAGCGGCCCAGGCGAUAUUAGCUAGUUGGUGAGGUAACGGCUUACCAAGGCCAAGAUGUCUAGCGGGUGUGAGAGCACGACCCGCGCCACUGGCACUGAGACACUGGCCAGACACCUACGGGUGGCUGCAGUCGAGAAUCUUCGGCAAUGAGCGCAAGCUUGACCGAGCGACGCCGCGUGCGGGAUGAAGGCCUUCGGGUUGUAAACCGCUUUGGUCCGAGAGAAAGGGCAACUUGAUCGAUCGGAGAAACAAGGACGGGCUAAGUUCGUGCCAGCAGCCGCGGUAAGACGAACCGUCCAAACGUUAUUCGGAAUCACUGGGCUUAAAGGGCGCGUAGGCGGCCGAGCGGGUCGCGGGUGAAAUCCUCCAGCUUAACUGGAGAACUGCCCUCGAUACCACUGCGGCUCGAGGAAGGAAGGGGUCAUGGGAACUGUCGGUGGAGCGGUGAAAUGCGUUGAUAUCGACAGGAACGCCUGUGGCGAAAGCGCAUGACUGGUCCUUUUCUGACGCUGAGGCGCGAAAGCCAGGGGAGCAAACGGGAUUAGAUACCCCGGUAGUCCUGGCCUUAAACGAUGAGAACUAGGUAG
rnacentral:rRNA from 1 species